rnacentral:rRNA from 1 species
GACGAACGCUGGCGGCGUGCCUAAUACAUGCAAGUAGAACGAGUUGCGAACGGGUGAGUAACGCGUGGUAACCUGCCUCAUAGCGGGGGAUAACUAUUGGAAACGAUAGCUAAUACCGCAUACUGUGAGAUGGACCUGCGUUGUAUUAGCUAGUUGGUGAGGUAAUGGCUCACCUAGGCGACGAUCCCUAGCUGGUCUGAGAGGAUGACGAUCCACACUGGAACUGAGACACGGUCCAGACUCCUACCCUGCACACCAGUUUAAAAUAUUGCACAAUGGGCGCAAGCCUGAUUCAGCCAUGCCGCGUGUAUGAAGAGGGCCUUCGGGUUGUAAAGUACUUUCAGCGAGGAGGCGUUACUCGCAGAAGAAGCACCGGCUAACUCCGUGCCAGCAGCCGCGGUAAUAC